rnacentral:rRNA from 1 species
UCAGGCCUAACACAUGCAAGUCGAGCGGCAGCGGAAAAGUAGCUUGCUACUUUUGCCGGCGAGCGGCGGACGGGUGAGUAAUGCCUGGGAAAUUGCCCAGUCGAGGGGGAUAACAGUUGGAAACGACUGCUAAUACCGCAUACGCCCUACGGGGGAAAGCAGGGGACCUUCGGGCCUUGCGCGAUUGGAUAUGCCCAGGUGGGAUUAGCUAGUUGGUGAGGUAAUGGCUCACCAAGGCGACGAUCCCUAGCUGGUCUGAGAGGAUGAUCAGCCACACUGGAACUGAGACACGGUCCAGACUCCUACGGGAGGCAGCAGUGGGGAAUAUUGCACAAUGGGGGAAACCCUGAUGCAUCCAAGGCGCGUGUGUGAAGAAGGCCUUCGGGUUGAAAGCAUAUGGGGCGAGGAGGAAAGGUUGAUGCCUAAUAC